UACGGAGGGUGCAAGCGUUAUCCGGAUUCACUGGGUUUAAAGGGUGCGUAGGUGGGCAGUUAAGUCAGUGGUGAAAUCUCCGGGCUCAACCCGGAAACUGCCAUUGAUACUGUCUGUCUUGAAUAUCGUGGAGGUAAGCGGAAUAUGUCAUGUAGCGGUGAAAUGCUUAGAUAUGACAUAGAACACCAAUUGCGAAGGCAGCUUACUACCCGAAUAUUGACACUGAGGCACGAAAGCGUGGGGAUCAAACAGG
rnacentral:rRNA from 1 species